rnacentral:rRNA from 1 species
GGGAAUAUUGGACAAUGGGCGAAAGCCUGAUCCAGCAAUGCCGCGUGAGUGAUGAAGGCCUUAGGGUUGUAAAGCUCUUUUACCCGGGAUGAUAAUGACAGUACCGGGAGAAUAAGCUCCGGCUAACUCCGUGCCAGCAGCCGCGGUAAUACGGAGGGAGCUAGCGUUAUCCGGAAUUACUGGGCGUAAAGGGUGCGUAGGUGGUUUCUUAAGUCAGAGGUGAAAGCCUGGAGCUCAACUCCAGAAUUGCCUUUAAGACUGCAUCGCUUGAAUCCAGGAGAGGUGAGUGGAAUUCCGAGUGUAGAGGUGAAAUUCGUAGAUAUUCGGAAGAACACCAGUGGCGAAGGCGGCUCACUGGACUGGUAUUGACGCUGAGGUUCGAAAGCGUGGGUAGCA